rnacentral:rRNA from 1 species
CUCUGUGACUCCUACGGGAGGCAGCAGUGGGAAUAUUGCACAAUGGGGGAAACCCUGAUGCAGCCAUGCCGCGUGUGUGAAGAAGGCCUUCGGGUGUAAAGCACUUUCAGUAGGGAGGAAGGUAGUGUAGUUAACACCUGCACUAUUUGACGUUACCUACAGAAGAAGCACCGGCUAACUCCGUGCCAGCAGCCGCGGUAAUACGGAGGGUGCGAGCGUUAAUCGGAAUUACUGGGCGUAAAGCGCAUGCAGGCGGCCUGUUAAGUCAGAUGUGAAAGCCCGGGGCUUAACCUCGGAAUUGCAUUUGAAACUGGCAGGCUAGAGUCUUGUAGAGGGGGUAGAAUUUCAGGUGUAGCGGUGAAAUGCGUAGAGAUCUGAAGGAAUACCAGUGGCGAAGGCGGCCCCCUGGACAAAGACUGACGCUCAGAUGCGAAAGCGUGGGGAGCAAACAGGAUUAGAUACCCUGGUAG